ACGCUCGACACCUAAGGAGGCAGCAGUGGGGAAUAUUGCACAAUGGGGGAAACCCUGAUGCAGCGACGCCGCGUGAGCGAAGAAGUAUUUCGGUAUGUAAAGCUCUAUCAGCAGGGAAGAAACUGACGGUACCUGACUAAGAAGCACCGGCUAAAUACGUGCCAACAGCCGCGGUAAUCUGAGCGGCUGGCAAGGC
rnacentral:rRNA from 1 species